rnacentral:rRNA from 1 species
AUUGAACGCUGGCGGCAGGCCUAACACAUGCAAGUCGAGCGAGCGGCGGACGGGUGAGUAAUGUCUGGGGAACUGCCUGAUGGCGGGGGAUAACUACUGGAAACGGUAGCUAAUACCGCAUACCAUCAGAUGUACCCAUAUGGGAUUAGCUUGUUGGUGGGGUAACGGCUCACCUAGGCGACGAUCCCUAGCUGGUCUGAGAGGAUGACCAGCCACACUGGAACUGAGACACGGCCCAGACUCCUACGGGAGGCAGCAGUGGGGAAUAUUGCACAAUGGGCGCAAGCCUGAUGCAGCCAUGCCGCGUGUAUGAAGAAGGCCUUAGGGUUGUAAAGUACUUUCAGCGGGGAGGCGUUACCCGCAGAAGAAGCACCGGCUAACUCCGUGCCAGCAGCCGCGGUAAUUC